rnacentral:rRNA from 1 species
GAUUGACACGACUCUCGGCAAUGGAUAUCUCGGCUCUCGCAUCGAUGAAGAGCGCAGCGAAAUGCGAUAUGUGGUGCGAAUUGCAGAAUCCCGCGAACCAUCGAGUCUUUGAACGCAAGUUGCGCCCGAGGCCAACCGGCUAAGGGCACGUCCGCCUGGGCGUCAAA